rnacentral:rRNA from 1 species
CCUACGGGUGGCAGCAGUGAGGAAUAUUGGUCAAUGGGCGAGAGCCUGAACCAGCCAAGUCGCGUGAGGGAGUACUGCCCUAUGGGUUGUAAACCUCUUUUGUCGGGGAGCAAAAGCCGGACGUGUCCGGCUGUGAGAGUACCCGAAGAAAAAGCAUCGGCUAACUCCGUGCCAGCAGCCGCGGUAAUACGGAGGAUGCGAGCGUUAUCCGGAUUUAUUGGGUUUAAAGGGUGCGCAGGCGGAUUUUUAAGUCAGCGGUAAAAUCGUGGGGCUCAACCCCAUCCAGCCGUUGAAACUGGGGAUCUAGAGUGUGCGAGAGGUAUGCGGAAGGCGUGGUGUAGCGGUGAAAUGCAUAGAUAUCACGCAGAACCCCGAUUGCGAAGGCAGCAUACCGGUGCACAACUGACGCUCAGGCACGAAAGCGUGGGUAUCGAACAGGAUUAGAUACCCCUGUAGUC